GUUGAGGAGGUAGGCAGAGGCCAUAAGUGAGCCUUUGGAAAUGGCCAAUCACUGGAACAAACACCAAGAAGCAAAACAAAACUCUAGACGUGCUUCCAAAACGCCAAGUAGUGUACUGCUUGUUAGGUCCUGCACGGCUUACCAGCAGCUGGAAACUGAAGAGCAGACCUAUGAAAGAUUAAGGUUGAUAAGCCUUUGAACCGGAACCACGAAGGGCAGUCCUAGGUGAACCGCGCCACGAGGGCACAGAAGCUAAGUCGUCCCGCCCUGCUUCUCUGCUCCUUUCAACACCUUCCCCCCUUUGCCAGUUUCCGAGAGGAACCUUUUUCAUGUUGCGGUGCAGUUGAAACCCGGGACCAAUUUCGUCAGCACAAUCCGGAACAGUCAACAUGGCGGCGGCCGCAAGGUACCUCGGUAGAGUCUUGAUACAUCAUCAAAGGCAUAGUCUCUGCAAGAUGGCUCACCAGGCAGCUUUUUACCCCUGUUCUCUAAACAGUCUCUUGCCCAACAGACAUUUUGCUGCUGCUGCUGCAAAGUCUGCAAGAAAAAAUAAAAAAGGUGCUAAGGAAAAGACAUCAGAUGAAAAACCAGUUGAUGAUAUAGAGAAAAUAAAGUCAUAUACCUACAUGGAAAGUGAGCCUGAAGACGAUGUCUAUUUAAAACGCUUAUACCCACGGCGGAUCUAUGAAGUAGAGAAAGCUAUUCACUUACUUAAGAAGUUUCAAGUCCUGGACUUUACCAAUCCAAAGCAAGGUGUUUAUCUUGACUUAACAUUAGAUAUGGCAUUGGGAAAAAAGAAAAAAGUGGAACCAUUUGCCAGCGUUAUUGCUCUCCCACACCCUUUCUCGUCAGAAGUCAACAAAGUUGCUGUGUUUACAGGGAAUGCAUCAGAAAUUAAAAUAGCAGAAGAAAAUGGAGCUGCGUUUGCAGGAGGAGCAGAUCUAGUUAAGAAGAUCUUGGAUGAUGAGGUUGUUGUGGACUUUUAUGUAGCUGUUCCAGAAAUAAUGGGCGAACUUAACCCGUUAAGGAAGAAACUGAAAAAAAGAUUUCCAAAGGCUACUAGAAAUUCUAUUGGCCGUGACAUCCCCAAAAUGCUUGAAUUAUUUAAAACUGCACAUGAAAUUAUGGUAGAUGAAGAAAGGCAGAACUUCCUCAGCACCAAAAUAGCAACGUUGGAUAUGCCAAGUGACCAGUUAGCUGCCAAUCUUCAAGCUGUCAUAAAUGAGGUCUGCAGGCACAGACCACUGAAUCUGGGUCCAUUUGUGGGUCCGUGCCUUCCUUCGUAGUUCCACCAGUGAAGGUUUGCUACUGAAGACUGACUCGCUCUUACCCAAGAAGCUGGAAACGCAGAAGCUGCCUAGAAGUGUUGUACUGUGAUAUUAUUGGGGGGUGUGUAGACCCCCAAUGUUGUUGUGUCAAGAAACAACAAAGACAUCUAUAAAACUGUUUAAUUUCUCUUUUG
rnacentral:lncRNA from 1 species